rnacentral:rRNA from 1 species
AUACGGAGGAUCCGAGCGUUAUCCGGAUUUAUUGGGUUUAAAGGGAGCGUAGGUGGGAUAUUAAGUCAGCUGUGAAAGUUUGGGGCUCAACCUUAAAAUUGCAGUUGAUACUGGUUUCCUUGAGUACGGUACAGGUGGGCGGAAUUCGUGGCGUAGCGGUGAAAUGCUUAGAUAUCACGAAGAACUCCGAUCGCGAAGGCAGCUCACCGGGCCGGAACUGACACUGAUGCUCGAAAGUGCGGGUAUCAAACAGGAUUAGAUACCCUGGUAGUCCGCACAGUAAACGAUGAAUACUCGCUGUUUGCGAUACACUGUAAGCGGCCAAGCGAAAGCGUUAAGUAUUCCACCUGGGGAGUACGCCGGCAACGGUGAAACUCAAAGGAAUUGGCGGGG